CCUACGGGGGGCAGCAGUGGGGAAUAUUGGACAAUGGGCGAAAGCCUGAUCCAGCCAUGCCGCGUGUGUGAAGAAGGCCUUCGGGUUGUAAAGCACUUUCAGUGGGGAAGAAAGCCUUGGGGCUAAUACCCUCGAGGAAGGACAUCACCCACAGAAGAAGCACCGGCUAACUCCGUGCCAGCAGCCGCGGUAAUACGGAGGGUGCGAGCGUUAAUCGGAAGUACUGGGCGUAAAGCGCGCGUAGGCGGUCUGAUAAGCCGGUUGUGAAAGCCCCGGGCUCAACCUGGGAACGGCAUCCGGAACUGUCAGGCUAGAGUGCAGGAGAGGAAGGUAGAAUUCCCGGUGUAGCGGUGAAAUGCGUAGAGAUCGGGAGGAAUACCAGUGGCGAAGGCGGCCUUCUGGACUGACACUGACGCUGAGGUGCGAAAGCGUGGGUAGCAAACAGGAUUAGAUACCCCGGUAGUC
rnacentral:rRNA from 1 species